GACGAACGCUGGCGGCGUGCCUAAUACAUGCAAGUUGAGCGCUGAAGGUUGGUACUUGUACCAACUGGAUGAGCAGCGAACGGGUGAGUAACGCGUGGGGAAUCUGCCUUUGAGCGGGGGACAACAUUUGGAAACGAAUGCUAAUACCGCAUAAAAACUUUAAACACAAGUUUUAAGUUUGAAAGAUGCAAUUGCAUCACUCAAAGAUGAUCCCGCGUUGUAUUAGCUAGUUGGUGAGGUAAAGGCUCACCAAGGCGAUGAUACAUAGCCGACCUGAGAGGGUGAUCGGCCACAGUGGGACUGAGACACGGCCCAAACUCCUACGGGAGGCAGCAGUAGGGAAUCUUCGGCAAUGGACGAAAGUCUGACCGGGCAACGCCGCGUGAGUGCAGAAGGUUGUCGGAUCGUAAAACUCUGUUGGUAGAGAAGAACGUUGGUGAGAGUGGAAAGCUCAUCAAGUGACGGUAACUACCCAGAAAGGGACGGCUAACUACGUG
rnacentral:rRNA from 1 species